GACGAACAAAAGAGGCGUGCUUAACACAUGCAAGUCGAACGAUGAAGCUGGAGCUUGCUCCGGUGGAUUAGUGGCGAACGGGUGAGUACCCCGUGCGCAAUCUGCCCUUGACUCUGGGAUAACUGCGGGAAACUGUAGCUAAUACCGGCUCCAUUCGAAGCACACAAACAUACAGUGAACAAAGAAUUUCGGCCAAAGAAACGGGGGCGGCCUGUCAGCGGGUUGGUGAGGUAACGGCUCACCAAGGCGACGACGGGUAGCCGGCCUGAGAGGGGGACCGGCCACACUGGGACUGAGACACGGCACAGACUCCUACGGGAGGCAGCAGUGGGGAAUAUUGCACAAUGGGCGCAAGCCUGAUGCAGCAACGCCGCGUGAGGGAUGAAGGCCUUCGGGUUGUAAACCUCUUUUAGCAGGGAAGAAGCGAAAGUGACGGUACCUGCAGAAAAAGCACCGGCUAACUACGUGCCAGCCGCCGCCGUAA
rnacentral:rRNA from 1 species